UGGAGUUGUUCGUUCCUCCCAGUGGGUUUG
rnacentral:piRNA from 1 species